CACGGGGGGAACGAGCGUUGUUCGGAUUUACUGGGCGUAAAGGGUGCGUAGGCGGAUCGGUCAGUCGGGUGUGAAAACCCGCGGCUCAACCGCGGGCUUGCACUCGAAACUGCCGGUCUGGAGUACGGGAGAGGGAAGUGGAAUUCCUGGUGUAGCGGUGAAAUGCGUAGAUAUCAGGAGGAACACCGUUGGCGAAGGCGGCUUCCUGGACCGAUACUGACGCUGAGGCACGAAGGCCGGGGGAGCAAACAGG
rnacentral:rRNA from 1 species